UUUACGGAGAGUUUGAUCCUGGCUCAGGAUGAACGCUGGCGGCGUGCUUAACACAUGCAAGUCGAACGGUGAAGCGGAGCUUGCUCUGUGGAUCAGUGGCGAACGGGUGAGUAACACGUGAGCAACCUGCCCCUGACUCUGGGAUAAGCGCUGGAAACGGCGUCUAAUACUGGAUAUGAGCUGCGACCGCAUGGUCAGCAGUUGGAAAGAUUUUUCGGUCUGGGAUGGGCUCACGGCCUAUCAGCUUGUUGGUGAGGUAAUGGCUCACCAAGGCGUCGACGGGUAGCCGGCCUGAGAGGGUGACCGGCCACACUGGGACUGAGACACGGCCCAGACUCCUACGGGAGGCAGCAGUGGGGAAUAUUGCACAAUGGGCGAAAGCCUGAUGCAGCAACGCCGCGUGAGGGAUGACGGCCUUCGGGUUGUAAACCUCUUUUAGCAGGGAAGAAGCGAAAGUGACGGUACCUGCAGAAAAAGCGCCGGCUAACUACGUGCCAGCAGCCGCGGUAAUACGUAGGGCGCAAGCGUUAUCCGGAAUUAUUGGGCGUAAAGAGCUCGUAGGCGGUUUGUCGCGUCUGCUGUGAAAUCCCGAGGCUCAACCUCGGGUCUGCAGUGGGUACGGGCAGACUAGAGUGCGGUAGGGGAGAUUGGAAUUCCUGGUGUAGCGGUGGAAUGCGCAGAUAUCAGGAGGAACACCGAUGGCGAAGGCAGAUCUCUGGGCCGUUACUGACGCUGAGGAGCGAAAGGGUGGGGAGCAAACAGGCUUAGAUACCCUGGUAGUCCACCCCGUAAACGUUGGGAACUAGUUGUGGGGUCCAUUCCACGGAUUCCGUGACGCAGCUAACGCAUUAAGUUCCCCGCCUGGGGAGUACGGCCGCAAGGCUAAAACUCAAAGGAAUUGACGGGGACCCGCACAAGCGGCGGAGCAUGCGGAUUAAUUCGAUGCAACGCGAAGAACCUUACCAAGGCUUGACAUAUACGAGAACGGGCCAGAAAUGGUCAACUCUUUGGACACUCGUAAACAGGUGGUGCAUGGUUGUCGUCAGCUCGUGUCGUGAGAUGUUGGGUUAAGUCCCGCAACGAGCGCAACCCUCGUUCUAUGUUGCCAGCACGUAAUGGUGGGAACUCAUGGGAUACUGCCGGGGUCAACUCGGAGGAAGGUGGGGAUGACGUCAAAUCAUCAUGCCCCUUAUGUCUUGGGCUUCACGCAUGCUACAAUGGCCGGUACAAAGGGCUGCAAUACCGUGAGGUGGAGCGAAUCCCAAAAAGCCGGUCCCAGUUCGGAUUGAGGUCUGCAACUCGACCUCAUGAAGUCGGAGUCGCUAGUAAUCGCAGAUCAGCAACGCUGCGGUGAAUACGUUCCCGGGUCUUGUACACACCGCCCGUCAAGUCAUGAAAGUCGGUAACACCUGAAGCCGGUGGCCCAACCCUUGUGGAGGGAGCCGUCGAAGGUGGGAUUGGUAAUUAGGACUAAGUCGUAACAAGGUAGCCGUACCGGAAGGUGCGGCUGGAUCACCUCCUUU
rnacentral:rRNA from 1 species